rnacentral:rRNA from 1 species
CCCAGACUCCUACGGGAGGCAGCAGUGGGGAAUAUUGCACAAUGGGGGGAACCCUGAUGCAGCGACGCCGCGUGGGUGAAGGAGUAUUUCGGUAUGUAAAGCCCUAUCAGCAGGGAAGAAAAUGACGGUACCUGAGUAAGAAGCCCCGGCUAACUACGUGCCAGCAGCCGCGGUAAUACGUAGGGGGCAAGCGUUAUCCGGAUUUACUGGGUGUAAAGGGAGCGUAGACGGCAGUGCAAGUCUGGAGUGAAAGGCGGGGGCUCAACCCCCGGACUGCUCUGGAAACUGUACGGCUGGAGUGCAGGAGAGGUAAGUGGAAUUCCUAGUGUAGCGGUGAAAUGCGUAGAUAUUAGGAGGAGCACCAGUGGCGAAGGCGGCUUACUGGACUGUAACUGACGUUGAGGCUCGAAAGCGUGGGGAGCAAACAGGAUUAGAUACCCUUGUACA